rnacentral:rRNA from 1 species
GGACCUACGGGUGGCAGCAGUGAGGAAUAUUGCGCAAUGGAGGCAACUCUGACGCAGCCAUGCCGCGUGCAGGAAGAAGGCGCUACGCGUUGUAAACUGCUUUUAACCGGGAAGAAACCCCAGGACGUGUCCUGGGUUGACGGUACCGGAGGAAUAAGCACCGGCUAACUUCGUGCCAGCAGCCGCGGUAAUACGAAGGGUGCAAGCGUUAUCCGGAUUCAUUGGGUUUAAAGGGUGCGUAGGCGGGGCCGUAAGUCAGUGGUGAAAUCCUGCAGCUUAACUGUAGAAUUGCCAUUGAUACUGCGGUUCUUGAGUACGCUUGAUGUGGGCGGAAUGUGCCGUGUAGCGGUGAAAUGCUUAGAUAUGGCACAGAACACCGAUCGCGAAGGCAGCUCACAAAGGCGAAACUGACGCUGAGGCACGAAAGCGUGGGGAUCGAACAGGAUUAGAUACCCGUGUAGUCCA